GUUUUUCAUGCUUCAGCUAAUAGACGCCAUGCCCUGCUAUCAAGAUAGAGUUUCCCUAAAUAAAGUGACUAUUCAUUUAUUUGUCAAAGCUUCCCCGGGGAAAACUUCAGCACAAACUUGUACCAUAUUUUGUCAUUUUAUUACAAUCAUAUAAGUUAGAAUUGUGUUAUUAUACUACCCUUAGCCUUGGCCCAUAUUUAAUAUGCAUAAGGUUACGAUAAGCAGCAAGCACGUUAGCUGGUAUGUGCGCUUGACAUAAGAAUUAUGAACUACCAUUGAUGAGAUUUACAGUUUCAUUUGCAGCAUGCAGUCAUUUAUUGAUCUGGAGGAGCUUAUUAGCGAUCCCUUCCACAUGCUUUAUCAACAACAUGUAGCUGUCAUCCCUCCUAAGCAGCAGGUUCCUGUGAGAAAUCUAUGGCUUUGUCACUCACUCUAGGGAGUUAAAGAAUGCCCUGUCACAAUACACAGCUGUCUAUUUUAUACAAUAUACAUCAUGACACAGCUUCAGGCUAUGCUCUCACUAUUCUACAUUUUGGGGCAAGGACAUCCUUUAACUUGCUGGUCUUUUUUUUUUUUUAUAGAUUGGCCCAAAACACUUCACAUCAUUGUCAAUUCUUUAGUUUGAGGUAGUAAAUAUUCUACUUCUGCUUCUAUUGUUUUUGUUCAUUUAAUUGCAUUUUUAAGUAGAUGUUUUGUUUUGUUUUUUAAAGUGGUCAGUGUCACUCAAGUCUGACACUAUUUUGCAUGUAGGUUUUGUAUUUCAUAUAUGUGUAUAAGACAAGUUCAUAAUAAGAGCAGCUGGUCAGCUAUGCAAAAUGUUAAAUGGACUGGUUCUUAUAUAGCGCUUUUCUACUCUUUCCGAACACUCAGAUCACUUUACACAACUUGCCUCAUUCACCCAAGGACUUUUUUCUAUGCUCUUUCUAUGCAAGUGCUUUCUGUCCAACAUUUGCGUGCAUUUAUACUCUUACAGACAGACUGGAGAGAAACCUGGGGUUAAUAUCUUAGCCAAGACUAUACUCUUUGCAUGCAGACUGGAGCAGACAGGGAUCGAACCACCAACCUUCCAAUUGGUGGUUCUGAUGCACCUGAGCUACAGCCACUAUUGAGGCAAAAGUGGGCAUGUCUUCAUUUCGCCACAAGGAAAGGCAUACUCACAUGAAUUCUGUCUACAGCUAAGACUAAGCUUGUAAAGCAGUGACUCAAAUGUUUAUAACUUGUGAACUUCAAGU
ensembl:lncRNA